AUCGCUUCUCGGCCUUUUGGCUAAGAUCAAGGGUAGUAUCUGUUACAAAUGUAAGUUCUUGUCUUCACAUUCCUGGGGAACUAUCUGAAAUUUUUUCUUCUCCUAAAAGUGAAGGAUGAGUGGACGACGAAGCAAACUUUU
rnacentral:snRNA from 1 species